AAUGGAGCCAUUUUCUUUGAUUCUUUGCCUCAUUUAUCUCAAAAUCGACACAAUGUGAAAUACCAAAUUUAUCAAAAACAAGAUCAUUCUGUCGAUAAAUGCUGAUUUCAUUUGGCUAUAAGUCAUAACAAUUAUCCCAAAAGUCUUCAUCAAGCUUUUGCAGGUCUACAAUUAGCACCUCCAUCAACUCAAGCACAAGUGACCAUUCCUUCAAAUAUACAAUGGAUUUCAGAUUCUGCUACUUCUCACAUGACCUUCAACCCAGCG
rnacentral:lncRNA from 1 species